GAGAGCCCGGCUCCACGGGGGAGGGGGACGGCAGCAGGUGAGGGGGUGGCUGCGGAGCCCGGGGAGGAGGGAGGGGGAGCGGGGAGCGAGCCGGAGGUGCGAGGGGAUCCGGGGAGCAGGGGAGAGGCGGCGCCGCUCUGCCCCGGUGCCCCGCGUCGCUUCAGAGGGGCAUCCCCGGGCGCAGUCGCUCGUGGUCCAUCGCUCGCUUCGGCAGGUCCGGGCGGGCCGCGGAGAGGAGCUCUCUAGUCCAGCGUCAUUGAGGGGGGUCAGGGAGAUAAACGAAGCAGAUUUAUAUACAAUCCAAUUUAUAGCCUGGAAGGAGGGGGGGGGGGAGAGAAAUACCACUUGUACCCCCCCCGUUCACUCCGCCCCCGCAAUCGUGGGUGCAGGUCUCUGAGCAGGUCGGCUCCGCGCCGCUCGCUUGUCCCCCUUCAGCGCCCGCUGCUUCUCAACGUGCCAUCAAAGUUGACCCGGAGCAUAGCUGGGGAGGGAGCCGGGGGCGGCGGGCAGAGGGUGCGCGGCUGGCAGCUCCACUGUUGCGAGUCUUCUCCCCUCACCGUCCCGCUUAUUAUUAGCGAGAUGCUUUUAUUUUCAAAGCAGCGCGGAGGGUCCGGAGUCCGGCGCGGAGGCGGUGGCGGCGCCCGGGGACCCCCGCCGCGGGCAGGGCACCGCACACUGCGCGACGCGGAGCGGAGAAGCGGCGCGAUCCCGGCGAUCCCAGGAGAAGCUGCACGGAUCCACUCGGAAUGAAGACAACUCUCAAGACUUUCAUCUUUGUCACCGAGGCAGAUGGUGCUUUUCAAGGGCAGAUGCAGGACACACAAAUUUCAAGCAUGACAGCAAAGAAGUCCCUUCUGCUCGUUUCAUUUUGUAGAAGAAGAAAAUAAUAAAACUUCUCAUCGAUCCCUGGACUGCACUCGAGUGAGAGCUGUUAGCUGUCACAAAUACAAGCAACUCAGGAGUGUGAAGAGGGUCAAGUGGAGGAUCAGCUCAUUACUGUGAUUUAAGAAUGGAGGGGACAAAUGCUAUUCUCAUCAUAAAUGUUUUCUUUUUUGUUCUAUACUGCAAAAGGAAAGACAUUCAAUGCUGUGCUUCAAAGUCACAUUGCAAUCCCAAUCUAGUUGUUCAUGUUGGGUUUAAUAUAAACAAAGUCUAAUUGCAUAUACAGCUUUGUAAAUCCUCAGCAUCACUGGAGCUACCCUGAUGAGAGAUCAGAAUUAGGUACAGUAUUUCCUCCCUGCCAGUAACAGGUUUUGAAUGGAAAGCCUGGAAUGUAAAAAAAGAAAUAAUGCUAAAAAUCCAAUCACUCUGACAUCCUGUGAGCUAAUAAGAGCACGUGAAUGCAACAAGCUUAGUACUUCACAGUAAUUAAUUUGACAGCAAAGAGCUAACAAGAAAACAACAGGCAGAGCAGUAAUGACUGGUUCAUAGAGGUCACUGUCAAACAAGAAAUAGGUGCAAACACAGUCCAUCUCCCUUUGGAAAGAACUAUUUCGUUGCCCAAGUGAAAAUGAAAUGCCAGAGAGGGAAAAUACAAUGGGUUUAGUGGAGAUAACAAAUCUGGCAAGGUAUUUCUACAGUAAAACAAGGUGGAGGUUUUCUUUGAUACAUGUGGGGAUUUUUAAUCAUCCCUGUUACUCGCUGUAGUGGCAUGUUUUGGUUUUUGCAUUUCCCCCCCUCUCAGUUAGCCAAAGCCAUUUUGCAUAUUCAAAUAUUGGGAAGACUUAUCUUCUCUCACAAUUACUAACAAACUAAUACUCUAAUAACCUCUAUUGUUAUUUAAAGUGUGUCCAACACAGCAUUCUGGAGGCAGUUCUCACACAAUGGACUUUCUCUGGCUUCUUCCUAGAGAAGAACUUAAUCAAACCUCAGAUGCUUUCAGGCAGAAGAGCCUUCGGGGUGAACAAGGAGGGUUAACAGAAAGAAAUGUGCCAUCUGAUUUCUAAUCUUGCUCAGGGAGCAUGGCCUAUUGAUUGAGCCAUAAAGCUCUGUUAAUUUUAAUAUUUCCUCAGCUUUCAGUUCUUUCCCUUGGGCAUAAACUUGUUGCUUACACACGGUGGCUGAGCUAUCAGGGAGAGGGUAGCUUCACAUUCCCCGACUCGGCUCUCUUCCCCUCCUCCCCUCCAUUCUAUUUGUUCUGAGCUCAUCUGCGUGAGGAUACAUUUUCACACACACCUUCUCAAACCGGCUGCUAUUCAUCUGAUUCAGGGUCAUGCUUUUCCAUACAUUAAAUGCAGGGGAAAACUGGGAAGGAAAUGGCUGGGAUUUGUGCUUGACGGGCAAGCACACGAUUAGCCAGGGAGCCCUGCUGUGAGAAAGUACAGCGUCGGAGGGUAUUUUCUGUGGAAUCAUCCAGUCUCAUGACUGGAAUCUGAUGCCUAUAAAAAGCUACUAUAUAAUGAAAACAGGAUAAAGUGAGAUCCUCAGGCAGUGUAAGUCGGCAUGUUCCCGAGACAUCCGACUGCUGCACAAUCACGGAACAGGUCAGCUUGGAAGGCACCACCCGUGGGGCCAUCUGAUCCAACCUCCCUGCCCAAACAGGGUCCUCCUAGACACAACUCUUUCUUCCUUUAUAACCUAGAUAUUUGCUUAUGCACAUUUUUCUCAGGGAUAAGGAGGCAGAAGUCACUCUUGGAGAGGCCAGUCAGUGCAGCCCUGAGCUAGAAACUGAGCAGGAGGUGAUGGCACAAGGCAGCUCCCUCAGUGCUCUGUGUUUCCACCAUGCCCUCAGUGGGACCAUGAACAAUUUACAUUAGCAAAGGAUCUAGCCCUUCACCUUUAGCUAAAGCACCUUUUAUGCACUUAAACCAUUAAUAAUAUCUAUUAGGUAACCUUGUUAAUCCCUUUGAGGUAGGAUUUUCUCUACUGUACUGAUGGCUGAACUGAAUAAAAGCUUCACAUAUGAGAGGGCCUGGUUUGCACUAGAAAUGCUUCUCCUUUGAUAACCAGCAAAUACAAGUUUUACUAGCACAAGCAUCUUUUUCUGCAAGCGUUUCCCAAAUAAAAUAGGCUAUACUGGCAAAAGCACUUUUUUUUUUGCUCAUAUAGCUGCAUCUAUAUGGGGGAUUUUUGCACGUAGUGAAACGCAAUCUGUUUUAAAUGGCACUUCAGAAGAGCAUUGCUAUCCCACAGAAGUUUCAAGGCUAGACCUUGAAGUAUAUACUUCUGCCUCAUAUCUGAAAGAGCUUUUUACAAAGUGGCCAUUGUCAUCCUGCAGGAAAUACAGAGAAACUGAGACACACGGAUUGGGAGUGCUGUGCUCUAUCUGGAAUUUGUGUUCAUUACAUUCUUUAGCUUCAGAUGAAAUUAUGUAUCCGUAAUCAGACUCAUUCCUCACUACGCAAAAUUUCUUCUUGAACAACUGCGACAAAGACAGUGGGUGUUUCAAAAGCAGCAUAGUUCUGUAUGAAAGAAAAGUCCUAUUGAAAAUCAGGUAGGUAAGUGCCAUUCUGAAUGACCUAGACAUUUUCUGAACUGUCAAAUGUAGACCAAACUCGUUAAAAAAUAAAAACACUAAGAGGCUAAUUUGG